rnacentral:sRNA from 1 species
GUAAAAUAAGAAUAUUUCUUGUACAUUUCAAUCAUAAGUAGAUAUGGCUAAAUUUAACUCUCAGAUUACUACGCUAUUCAUUGUUGUAGCUUUGGUGUGUGCAUUUGUUCCAGCUUUCUCAGUCGAA